AGGAAUUCUCAUAUUGCUUUUUGGUGGUCUCUCUCUCCACCCCCCACCCCUCUCUUUUUUAACUUUAUAUAUAGUUGUAGUAACCAAGGGAGGAGGAGUUGAUCUAAGGUUAGAGUUUGUUGAGAUCCUGAAUUGGUAUCAAAAGAUGUGAGUUAGCAUUUGAAUGAAAAAUCCAUAAACAAAAUUUGGUGGAGUGACUAAAAAGUAGUUAACAAUAUCUAGAGUUUACUUUAUUCAAAUUCCUGCACCAACACAUUGUCCUUUCCCUACAAUAAUUUUGUGUUUCUUCAAAACUGAGUCUCAAACAAUGUUAGAAUGCAAUUUUGCAUAUCUACAGAUUUAUAUGACCUUGAAUGUUUGUGUAACAUGAAAAGCUUACCUUAUUUUGUGCUAGAAGGUGCAUUCAUGUUGAGUUCUUAGCGUCUUCUGCUUUUUCCAACUGCAUAGAACAAUGAGCUGAGUUAAUGCACACGUUCAACUUAAAACUGACCAUAACCGAUGUAGUAGAAACCGGUAGAAAAAACAAAUCGCCUUGCAAAUUUAACUUACAAUCUGAUAGAACAAAAAAAGUAUGUCAUCCUUAGCUCUUUGAUUUUGAGUGCUUAACAAGCCAAUCACCAGUUGAGUCAAUAUUGAGCCAAUCACCUCUUUUCCUUUUAUUGAAAAGGCAGGCCGAGUAGAUGAUUAAAGGAGUCAACUUAGAAUGCAAGUGUAGACUGUGUUAGAAGGCAAGUUUCCAAUUUCAGCUUAAGGUUUGUUUGCUUCAUUCAAUUUUUUCAUAUGCCCAAUAGAAGAAAUGAAAAUCCACCUCUAAAUGUUGCAACACUCUAUGAGAUAAAGACACUGAAUAUCAUAUUAUGUUAAGUUCCUGGCACACUUCGUCCCAUGAAUAUCCUUUCUUCUUUGCUCCCUUCAAACUUAACCCUUGGCAUUUGCAAUAUUACAUCUUUGAUGGCUAUGUGGAUUCAGUGGCAGGCUAGUCUGAAUAGAAAAUUUACUACUUAUGCAAAAUAGAUAAUUUAGUAAGUGUCUUCAAGAUUUAAUCACAAUUCCUUUUUUUUCCUUUUUGUAAUGACCAAAGGACAUCAUCAGUACAAGCAUGAGCGUGACCCCAAAGUACCUGAAAUGCAGCAGUAAAAAGCUUUUAUUUAGUGUCACAUUAGAUGAAAAAGUAAUGUCAAGAACCAGAGUGUCGCUCCUGGAAAAAAAAAUAUCGAAGUCUAACCGUAAAAAAAAAUAUCAAUCAAAAUGCUCGACCAACAGGAGUUAAUCGCCACACCCCUAUUACACCAUAUGUUGCACAUGGUACAUUGGCCACCAAAAAGCAUAGGGAGCAAAAUAGGGUUAAUGCCACAUUUAACUGUAGAAUGGAAUAGAAAUAGUUGUAUGCUCUGUAUUGGAGAAAUCCUUGGUAAGAAACGCUUUCCCAAAUAGGCCCUAUGCGACGCGAAUCCGGAUUAGUCGUAUUCCAAUGUGUGAACCGAAUACCGAAUUAAAAAAAAUGGAGAUUCACUAGCAAGAGUAACGUGUUAAACAAUUUGUUCUAUUUAUUCCUAUUUAACUACUUACAACUUUUGAUCUAGUUGAAUGACCGUUUAGUUUAACAUCUUAGAGAGCAGAUGAUGACUCAAAUAUAUAUCAGACAACAUUAACUCAGGGUAAUUCUAGAAUAAAAAGAAGUGAACUCAUAACAUGAAUGAGAUUACCCCAUCGAUAUACGCUCAUAAGAUCCUUGACCAACAAAAUCCAGUUGAACGUUUUAUUAGAAAUUACUACCUUGAUGAGCUACUUGUAUCCUACUUCCAACAUCUGAUGGCAAUAGUUGCACCCACGUAAUCAAUGGCAAAGAUACUUGACUGAGUUCUUGAUGUUCAGUUGCAUUCGUUCGCUAUUGAACAAGCCUGUAGCAUAUUAAAAAGAUUACACAUAUUCAGAAGCUUCUUACUUGUUCUAAAGCCAGGCUGAAUCACAAUGCACAUCCUACCAUCUAACAAGGCAUAUAAAAAUGCUCAGCGAAACAGGACGGAUGAAUGCUGGAUCCCGUUGUGAAUACAUCAGACCGACUAAAAAAAGUAACUACAAUAUUCAGAUAGUGUAGUAGGUGGAGUGUUGAUAGUUUAGUUCUUUUGAUAUCUCAAGUUCCUCUUAAAGCAACUACUUGGCAGGUCUUUCUUUUGUUGAUAAGUCUACCGUGCAGGUCCCUAUUUACACUCUUUUGCGGAAUUUUUCUUAUACUUCUAGAACUACAGGAAAGUAUCUUGUGAAGAAAAUCAAAAUCAGGUUUGAUUCUGUAAGCACAGAAGAAAGCAUGUAGCUGCUGAUAUUUUACAAGUGUCAGUUUUAAGAUAACUAGGAAUUUUUUCAGAUGGGAAACUUUAAAAUAUUCACUCUAUGGAUAUCCAUAUUCCUUCCAAUCUUCACAUCCAGUAGCGUGACCUUCAACUCUUGCUGCCUGAUUCAUACAAGGAGCUCUCUUAUUACUUGAAAGUGUUAUUGUUACUCCUUGGUUGAAGUCUCCAAAACUCUUAGUAUCACUACUAUAUCUCAACAAAUGUUAAUAAAGUGUUACCUAAUAUGACAUAACAAAGAGUAAAUAGCAUAUACUUACAGUAUCAUGGAUUCUCCAAGUGUAAGGAGGAACUCCUGUAUUUGAGAAUGAUCGCAAACACCAAGUAAAGAUAAGGCCUCAAGGAGAAUACUUGUGUUUUGUUGGUCAUCUUAGCAAUAUUUCUAAUUUGAAAUGCUUAGUCAGUUAGUUGUUUAUAAUGAUUAAUGAUGUUUGCCAUGGGCUUGAUGACUGUGAAGAAACAGAAACAAAUGAGGCACCGGUCCACCUCUGCAUUCAGAGUCCUCAAAAUUUGUCAUAUUUACGAAAACAAAAACAAUCUGCUUUCAGCCAAUGGAAACAAAAGGAAUUGCAAAUGCAGUAGGCACAACCACAAUUGUUCUUGAAUAACAGCUAAAAUCAAAGAAUAUUGCGAAUCUCCUUAAGGAAGGAACAUUAUUUGGAGAAUAAUGAAUUGGAGAAUAGGUUGCUGAGGAAAAUCGUCACAGUAGGCCAGACUGCUGCAAAAAGUAACUCUUUGUAACUUUUCAAGGCAAUCCUAAGUGCAGAAGAGAUACUAUGAGUCACCUGGGAGAAAAGUGUAAAAAAAACAAACAUGAGCUUCCCGUGAAGUUCCACUGUAUGUCCAUACUCGUUCCAUAGCCGCUGAUUUUCCGACGACGAUAGAAACAACAGAUCUCAACAAUUUCAUAAGCAGAAACAAAGACAACAACAACAACAACCAGUGUAAUCCCACAAGUGGGGUCUGGGAGGUAAUAUGUACGCAGACGUUAACUCUGCCGAGGGCAGAGAGGGUGUUUACUGGAGACCCUCGGCAGAAACAAAGAAAGCAGAGAAAAAUCGGAGAACCUAAAGACACCGAAAGAAGACAGAGAGGAAUCGCAAAAGGUGAACACCACUUUUUC
rnacentral:lncRNA from 1 species